rnacentral:rRNA from 1 species
UAGCAUAUCAUAGCGGAGGAAAAGAAACCAACAGGGAUGCCUCAGUAACGGCGAGUGAAGCGGCAACAGCUCAAAUGUGAAAUCUGGCGGCCUCUGGGCCGUCCGAGUUGUAAUUUGAAGAGGAUGCUUUUGGCGAGGUGCCUUCCGAGUGCCCUGGAACGGGACGCCACAGAGGGUGAGAGCCCCGUAUGGUUGGACGCCGAGCCUCUGUAAAGCUCCUUCGACGAGUCGAGUAGUUUGGGAAUGCUGCUCAAAAUGGGAGGUAAACCCCUUCUAAAGCUAAAUACUGGCCAGAGACCGAUAGCGCACAAGUAGAGUGAUCGAAAGAUGAAAAGCACUUUGAAAAGAGAGUUAAACAGCACGUGAAAUUGUUGAAAGGGAAGCGCUUGCGACCAGACUUGUGCUCGUCGAAUCAGCCGCCGCUCGUCGGCGGCGCACUUCGGCGGGCUCAGGCCAGCAUCAGUUCGCUGCAGGGGGAGAAAGGCGAUGGGAAUGUGGCUCUUCGGAGUGUUAUAGCCCGCCGCGCAAUACCCCUCGGCGGACUGAGGACCGCGCAUCUGCAAGGAUGCUGGCGUAAUGGUCGUCAGCGACCCGUCUUGAAACACGGACCAAGGAGUCGUCCUAAUAUGCGAGUGUUCGGGUGUAAAACCCCUGCGCGUAAUGAAAGUGAACGGAGGUGAGAGCUUCGGCGCAUCAUCGACCGAUCCUGAUGUUCUCGGAUGGAUUUGAGUAAGAGCAUAUUGGGCCGGACCCGAAAGAAGGUGAACUAUGCCUGUAUAGGGUAAAGCCAGAGGAAACUCUGGUGGAGGCUCGCAGCGGUUCUGACGUGCAAAUCGAUCGUCAAAUAUGGGCAUGGGGG